GACGAACGCUGGCGGCGUGGAUUAGGCAUGCAAGUCGAACGGUAUCAUCCUUUCGGGGGUGAGAGAGUGGCGAACUGGUGAGUAACACGUAGGUUAUCUACCCUCAAGACGGGGACAACCCCAGGGAAACUUGGGCUAAUACCGGAUGUGAGCAACUUUUAGUUGUUUGAAAGGUGGCGUAAGCUGUCGCUUGGGGAUGAGCCUGCGUCCUAUUAGUUAGUUGGUGAGGUAACGGCUCACCUAGGCAAUGAUAGGUAGGCGGCCUUAACGGGUGGUCGCCCACACUGGGAUUGAGAUACGGCCCAGACUCCUACGGGAGGCAGCAGUCGAGAAUAGUCUACAAUGGUCGGAAGACUGAUAGUGCGACGCCGCGUGAACGAUGAAUCCCUUCGGGGUGUAAAGUUCUUUUAUAUGUGAGCAGUGCUUCUUAUAUUAACAGUAUGGGGAGAGAGAUAUUAGCAUAUGAAUAAGCAACGGCUAACUCCGUG
rnacentral:rRNA from 1 species